AGACUCUGUGCGCGUGCAUAUCAAUAAGCGGAGGAAAAGAAACUAACAAGGAUUCCCCUAGUAACGGCGAGUGAAGCGGGAAGAGCUCAAAUUUGAAAUCUUAAAGGGUUUCCCUUACGAAUUGUAGUUUAAAGAAGUGUUUUCUGUUGGAGUUUUGGUAAAAGUUCUUUGGAAUAGGACAUCAUAGAGGGUGAGAAUCCCGUAUUUGACCGUUACUUUCCAGCUGUGUGAUACACUUUCAAAGAGUCGGAUUGUUUGGGAAUGCAGUCCAAAAUGGGUGGUAAAUUUCAUCUAAAGCUAAAUAUUGGCGAGAGACCGAUAGCGAACAAGUACCGUGAGGGAAAGAUGAAAAGAACUUUGAAAAGAGAGUUAAACAGUACGUGAAAUUGUCAAAAGGGAAGCGUUUGACACCAGUGUUGUUUAGUUGAAAAUCAAUUCAAUAAUUUUUGAUUUUAAGUAGUAUUGACUUCAUCAGCUUGCUGCUUUCUUUUCAGGAAUUAUUGAAUGCACUUUUCAGUUAACAAGUCAACAUCAAUUUCUUUUGUUGUAAAAGAGUCAUUGGUAGGUGGCUUUCUUUUCGGAGAAAGUGUUUAUAGCCUUGUGCCUCUGCAAUCGGAGAGAUUGAGGUCUGCAGCGUAGAUCCUUCGGGGUUAGAUACAGUUUGUGCUAAGUUAUAGCUUUUCAUAGACAACUUUGUUGACUAUGUUUAGUCUUGUAGCUUACUCGCUGACUGCUAUUUUACCUACGCUUAGGAUGUUGACAGCAGUAUAGACUGU
rnacentral:rRNA from 1 species